GUGACAAUAAUUCUUUGUGGCAGAAUCUAGAAGAGUUGUCCCCGUCGGGAUGGCGGGGACGCGGAUGGUUGCCUGCUCCCCGACCCCGAUCCCUGCCCUGCAAAGAAGACGCGGCUUUGUAGUCGUAGUAGCCAGGAGCGCAAGGCCCAUAAAAAGGCCCAUUAGCUCCGAAGUAUAUAUACGCACUAACCCUAAUUCACACCCCCACCCAGCCACUCCAUCGGUCCAUCCAGCCCCAGCCCCUAGCGGCGCACCCAAGCGAGCGGCGGCAGACCACGCGAGCGCAAGCGCGACUGCGGCACUGCGCACUCGAACAGCAGCCAGCAAGUAGCAACUCGGUGGAUCCACCAUUCCACCCUGCGUCCAGGACUCCAGGUCUCCAGUCUCCAGAGUCCAGGCAUCGACGUCCACCCUGCAGCAUAGCAGCAGUGAUUCUGCGGUCCGCGUGCAGCCGUCCAUGCGCAGCCUUGGAGAUUCUGCCGUCCUCGCACAGCUGUUGCAGGUGGGCCUCGGAUCCUCGCCGCUGGAGCUCACAGGUAACAUGGAUAUGCCUGGAUCUGAAUCUCCCAUGAGUUCGGAUGGAGAAGAAAGGUUGAAGUGGAGGCCUAUCUUGCUCAAAUAACUGAAGAUGAGCAAGAUCUAAAGACAUCAGUUGAAGCUAUAGCUCAUGUUCCGCCCAAAUCAACUUUCCUUCGCAAUGUUGGCAUGGAGUCCAAAUAGAUGAAGAAAGAUGCUAAAGCUGCUGCAAUGAACAAGCGUGUGCAAGAACUGAUGUUCUGGAUGUAGCUGAUGUUCUAAAGACAUUUGACAUUCUUGAUGUAGCCUUUGUUCUACAGACAUUUGAGAUUUUGGAUGUGCAGCCUAUGUUCUGCAGUCAUUUGUGUUUUUGGUGUUGUAUUACAUUUUGAAACCUGUAUAAAAUGCAUGUGAUAUUUUAAUUAAUUGUGGAGAUUGCUUAUUUGAUUCUA